CUACGGGCGGCUGCAGUGAGGAAUAUUGCACAAUGGGGGGAACCCUGAUGCAGCAACGCCACGUGGAGGAUGACGCAUUUCGGUGUGUAAACUCCUUUUAUAUGUCAAGAAAAUGACGGUAGCAUAUGAAUAAGCACCGGCUAACUCCGUGCCAGCAGCCGCGGUAAUACGGAGGUUGCAAGCGUUACUCGGAAUCACUGGGCGUAAAGGACGCGUAGGCGGGUUGGAAAGUCAGGUGUGAAAUCCUACAGCUUAACUGGAGAACUGCACUUGAAACUUCUAAUCUAGAGUAUGGGAGGGGGAGAUGGAAUUAGUGGUGUAGGGGUAAAAUCCGUAGAUAUCACUAGGAAUACCUAAAGCGAAGGCGAUCUCCUGGAACAUUACUGACGCUAAGGCGUGAAAGCGUGGGGAGCAAACAGGAUUAGAUACCCGUGUAGUC
rnacentral:rRNA from 1 species